rnacentral:rRNA from 1 species
GAUGAACGCUAGCGGCAGGCUUAAUACAUGCAAGUCAAGGGGUAGCAAUACAACCGGCGCACGGGUGAGUAACGCGUACACAACAUACCAUAUACUGGAGUAUAGCUUUGGGAAACUGAAGGUAAUCCUCCAUAACAUUGCGAGAGGGCAUCUGAUUGCAAUUAAAGUUUCGGCGGUAUAUGAUUGGUGUGCGUUUGAUUAGCUAGUUGGUAGGGUAACGGCCUACCAAGGCGACGAUCAAUAGCUGGCGUGAGAGCGCGACCAGCCACACUGGAACUGAGACACGGUCCAGACUCCUACGGGAGGCAGCAGUAGGGAAUAUUGGACAAUGGAGGAAACUCUGAUCCAGCCAUGCCGCGUGAUAGAUGAAGGCCCUCUGGGUUGUAAAUAUCUUUUAUCUGGGAAGAAACACUCCUAUUCUUAGGAACUUGACGGUACCAGAGGAAUAAGCACCGGCUAACUCCGUGCCAGCAGCCGCGG